rnacentral:rRNA from 1 species
CCUACGGGGUGCAGCAGUGGGGAAUAUUGGGCAAUGGGCGCAAGCCUGACCCAGCAACGCCGCGUGAAGGAAGAAGGCUUUCGGGUUGUAAACUUCUUUUCUCAGGGACGAAGCAAGUGAUGGUCCCUGAGGAAUAAGCCACUGCUAACUACGUGCCAGCAGCCGCGGUAAUACGUAGGUGGCAAGCGUUAUCCGGAUUUGCUGGGUGUACAGGGUGUGUAGGCGGGGACGCAAGUCAGAUGUGAAAACCACGGGCUCAACCUGUGGCCUGCAUUUGAUACUGUGUUUCUUGAGUACUGGGGAGGCAGACGGAAUGCCUAGUGUAGCGGUGAAAUGCGUAGAUAUUAGGAGGAACACCAGUGGCGAAGGCGGUCUGCUGGACAGCAACUGACGCUGAGGCGCGAAAGCGUGGGGAGCAAACAGGAUUAGAUACCCGAGUAGUC